AGAUGUGUAUAAGAGGCAGGUGAAUCAUCGAAUCUUUGAACGCACAUUGCGCCCCUUGGUAUUCCGGGGGGCAUGCCUGUUCGAGCGUCAUUAUCACCCCUCAAGCUCAGCUUGGUGUUGGGGCCUGCCCGUCACAGGGCAGCCCUUAAAAGCAGUGGCGGUGCCAUCUGGCUCUACGCGUAGUAAUACUUCUCGCGACGGAGUCCCGGUGGUGUCCUGCCAGAACCCCCAUAUUUUUAAUGAUUGACCUCGGAUCAGGUAGGGAUACCCGCUGAACUUAAGCAUAUCAAUAAGCGGAGG
rnacentral:misc_RNA from 1 species